GUGUUGGUAGUCCAACGGUUAGGGUAAUUGCCAUCCAAGCAAUGCGCCUGAGUUCGAUUCUUGGUAGACAUU